GCCUCUUUCUGCUCCUUAGUGCC
rnacentral:piRNA from 2 species